rnacentral:misc_RNA from 1 species
GAUGAAGAACGCAGCGAAAUGCGAUACGUAAUGUGAAUUGCAGAAUUCAGUGAAUCAUCGAAUCUUUGAACGCAUAUUGCGCUCUUUGGUAUUCCGAAGAGCAUGCUUGUUUGAGUAUCAGUAAACACCUCAAAGCUUUUGGAUUUUUUAAUCGAAAAGCUUUGGACUUGAGCAAUCCCAACACCAAUCUUUUUGAGAUCGGUGGCGGGUUGCUUGAAAUGCAGGUGCAGCUGGACAUUCUCCUGAGCUAAAAGCAUAUUCAUUUAGUCCCGUCAAACGGAUUAUUACUUUUGCUGCAGCUAACAUAAAGGGAGUUUGACCGUAUUGGCUGACUGAUGCAGGAUUUCACAAGGGUCGGCAACGAUUCUUGUUAAACUCGAUCUCACAUCAAGUAAGACUACCCGCUGAACUUAAGCAUAUCAAUAAGCGGAGGA